AAAUGAAUGGAUUCAAUCGUUACUAGGAUGGUAGCGACAAAGGAUUGAAAUGGACACCUCUGGAUGAGGCAUGGAACAAACAUCAGGAUGAUGUAAAGGACACCGCUCACGGACCAAGUGAAGUGAACUAACUAGGAUAGUUAGUUGUCAGGAAGACUAGGACACCGCUAGGAUAGCGAAGAACGGAAUAAGCUAAAGGAUUUGGCAACUAUCAAGGAUUUGAUGCAUGGAGCAUCUUUAGUAGCCGGAUUGCUGCGAGUAAGACUAUAGCCCCGAUACGCAAGUAUCGGGGCUUUUCUUAUUG
rnacentral:other from 1 species